rnacentral:rRNA from 1 species
UACGUAGGGCGCAAGCGUUAUCCGGAAUUAUUGGGCGUAAAGAGCUCGUAGGCGGUUUGUCGCGUCUGCCGUGAAAGUCCGGGGCUCAACUCCGGAUCUGCGGUGGGUACGGGCAGACUAGAGUGAUGUAGGGGAGACUGGAAUUCCUGGUGUAGCGGUGAAAUGCGCAGAUAUCAGGAGGAACACCGGUGGCGAAGGCGGGUCUCUGGGCCGAUACUGACGCUGAGGAGCGAAAGCGUGGGUAGCAAACAGG